CAGCCGCCGCGGUAAUACAGAGGGUGCGAGCGUUAAUCGGAUUUACUGGGCGUAAAGCGUGCGUAGGCGGCUAAUUGAGUCGGAUGUGAAAUCCCCGAGCUUAACUUGGGAAUUGCAUUCGAUACUGGUUAGCUAGAGUGUGGGAGAGGAUGGUAGAAUUCCAGGUGUAGCGGUGAAAUGCGUAGAGAUCUGGAGGAAUACCGAUGGCGAAGGCAGCCAUCUGGCCUAACACUGACGCUGAGGUACGAAAGCAUGGGGAGCAAACAGGAUUAGAUACCCGCGUAGUCCCUGUCUCUUAUAU
rnacentral:rRNA from 1 species